UACGGGGGGAGCAAACGUUGUUCGGAAUUACUGGGCGUAAAGGGCGCGCAGGCGGCCGAGUCAGUGGAGUGUGAAAUGCUCUGGCUCAACCAGAGAACUGCACUCCAUACUGCUUGGCUUGGGUACAGCAGAGGAUGGGGGAAUUCCCGGUGUAGCGGUGGAAUGCAUUGAUAUCGGGAGGAACACCAGUGGCGAAGGCGCCCAUCUGGGCUGAUACCGACGCUCAGGCGCGAAAGCUAGGGGAGCAAACAGG
rnacentral:rRNA from 1 species